AAAUUUUAGCAUGGGCUAAGUAAGAACCAUGAUUAUUUACCUAAAACAAGUUAAAAUUUCACAAUUUGACAUAAUAUACUAACCUUUUUAAUGACUCAAGUGACCAAAAAUUCUUCCCUUCCUUUGUUUCUUCUAUUCGGCCAUGUUGAACAACAAAGAAAGAAUUUUGUUUUUCCUCCCCUUUCUCUAGUCACGGCAAUGGGGAGUAAAGGGGGAGACAACUUUGGUUUCUCCUCUCACUCACCUCAUGUUUUAUCAUUCUUAAUAUUUUCUCUUUUUUUUUCUUUCUCCAUUUCUUAAUUACUAACUUUAUUUUAUUGUUUCCUCCCAUGAUGCACCAACACAACAUGUCUAUGACAUGUUUUUAGCCAUAACAUCUUGUCCACCCAUGCUCUUUAUUUUAUUAAUCCUUACAUAAUGCACUACCCCAACAUGUUUAUGACAUGUUUUUAGCCAUAACAUCUUGUCCACCUAUGCUCAUGGCCGGCCACUACAUAUUAGGGGGGGAAAAUUGACAUGCAAGUCCUCCAUUUUGAUUACAUGCACUAUUAGGUCCUUGUAGAUUAGCCUAUCACAUUUCAAAAAUGUCAUUUUGACUAAAUUCACAUGCAAUUUACUAAAUCGAAGCCUAAAACUUUCACACCUUCAUAAUCACAUAUUUUAGACAAUAAAUAUCACAUUCAAAUAAUUUGGUGACUCGGUUUAGCGGUCCUGAAACCGCUUUCCGACUAGGGUCAUUUUAGGGCUGUCACAAGCACUCCACGACUCUAGCAUAGUAGGACAUUUGACCAAAGGGACUCUACCAAGCCCCUCCUCUACAUAGGCUCCCACUUUCCCCAAAGAAGGUUAAUACUCUUUACCUAUUCUGAAACUCGACC
rnacentral:lncRNA from 1 species